GGUCUUGGGACGUUUUGACUGUCAUUUUAUACUUUCGAUUUCGGAUAUUUUAAGAAUUGUAUUGAUUGUCAAUGACUUUACAAGGAUACAUUGACGUCUUCUGCAUCGUGAGAAAUAAAGCCAUAGAAUACAUUCAUACCACUCAAAUUCAGCCAGUCAGAAUGAUGGGAAGGAUUGCAGAACUGAGUUUCACUCUCACCUGACUGAUGCAGAUUCAGUAACCUAAUUGCUCAUGAUGGUUUCUGAGAAAAAAACAGCUUGGUGUAAUUUGACAGUAUUUUUCAGUAUUUGACAGUGGUUCUAUCAUGCAACAGUCAUACCAUGAAGUGUCUCACAGAUUCUGUCUCAAUUCCUGCAAUAUCCAAGAUUACAGUGUAGUGCAAAGAGGAUUAAUUUUCUUGCAAUAAGAAGUAUCUGCACUUCCAAAGACCCCUGUACAGCAUGAACAGUUCCUUCAUUUUUUGAGUGAUUAUAGAGUGAAAAUGUUUCCAUAUAAAAUGUUUUCUUUUUAUGUGUAAAACUUGUCAUGAAAGGUUACAAAUACAUGCAUGGACAUUAUGAUUCCAAAUCUAUGCACAUUUUGAUUCCAAUAAUUAAAGUAUUUUAAAUUUGGUUUGAAACAGAAAUAUUGUCCUUAUGUUUGUUUCUAAACAUUAUCUGGUAUUAUUCGUGUUUAUAGUUUCCAUGUCAAUUUAAAAAAGUCGGUUCUUUUAAAGAUGCACUCUUACUCCCACAUAAGAUUUACCACAAUUAAUACUUUUGUUUUAUUAUUCCAAAAAGGAUGAAUAAAUGUUGAAAACAAUGGUUCUAAUGAAGGAUGCCUACUUCUACUUGAAGGAAAUGUGCAUAAAAGACAGUAUUUCUACCAUUUGAGAUCAUAGUAGAUCACAGUAAAUCUUUAUGCAUUCACCAAUCAUUUAAUGUCUUUGCUUUUUCAGCUUAAAUACACGGUUACAAUAUUUUUAUCAAUACUUAAUAUUUUCCAAAAAUGAAUUAUUAAGUAAGUUGUUAAAGGGUUAACAGUCAAAGUGUAUGUUUGUUAUACAUGUGUAUGCAUUGAUACUGAAUAAGAGUUUAAACAGUUGCCAUGGUAACUAUAGAGUCUAGUUUUCUUAAGAAACUGUAAUUGUUGUCUAAAAACCUUUGUAUUUUCAAUGUGAUACUUUUUAGCAUGUCCGCUUCAGUCAAUGAAAUAUUUCUGUUAUUUGUUAAUCAUUUGGUCAUACUUUGUAUACAAUUAUAUUUAUAAUUUAACCUUGAAAAUUGCUGGCAAUCUCAUACUUAUAUUGAAAUAUUCAGAAUUGCUAGAUGGGUUGAAGUUCACCUUUAUUACAACUGUCAGGCAAUCAUGGCAAGAUGUACAUAAUUCUCCUUUUUAACAAAAAGCGAUGUUUAAAGCAUUUUUUGUAUUUUUAUUGAAUGGUUACCAUGGCAACUAAUUUUUUGUUUGCCUUUAAUCUUCCUAUUUAUAAUACUAUUAAUUGUAAAAAUGCAACAGUCAAGCAGUGAAUGGAAGAAUGUAAAUGUUCUUCGUCUUUUACCUUUUUUAAGCUCAUUCUUCAAAAUAUUAAGCAAUUUUAAAAUUUCUUAAAAAUGGACGUUUUUUCAUCAUUUUUUUAAAGUAAAAUAAUUUGCUUAAAACUUUGUUUAGGUUCUGAUAUUUAGGAAUGGGUAUUAAAUUUAUAGAAAAUAAACAAAAUGUGUUGUUUGACAGUAUUUAUUUCAUUUAAAUUCCGAAGUUUUGAAUUUGACCUAUUUUGGCAGAAAAAUUGAUAAAACUGUAAAAUUAAAAGGGCCAUAAUUCUGUCAAAAAUUGAUGGAUUUUGAAAAAAUGUGCAUAUUUGAGUUUGUAAUGACAUAACCUUUAAAAUGAUAU